CCAGUUGAUGGUGGAGGUGGUAGGGGAAGCCAUGGUUCUUGUGAAGGCGGCGGCGGCGAUGGUGGCGUCUGAUACAAUGGAGGUGGAGGUGGAGGUGGACUAGAAGCUGCUUUGGGUGGGUAAUACUUUACUGGUGAUGGAACUGGAGCUGUGGACGGGGUUGGAGGAGGAGAAUGUGUAUAUCCACUCGUUGGUGGAGGGGGUGGUGGUGGAGAGUUAGGGUGGUAACUAGGUGCUGGAACUUCAGCUGACUGCUUUGGUGGCGGUGGUGCUUGGUAUUGAUGGUAAGGCGGGG